GUGAGUGAGUGUCCAUCCGCAAGUGGCGCGCGUGCUCGCAAUUGAAUUAGUGGCUAGAGCUGGUUAGAGUCAAUUAGAAUUCUUCCACGAUACAAAUUGAUUUUGAUCGCGCGCAGGAACGACGGCUCGCGCAUAAUGUUCAAUACGUCGUAAAUAAUUUCGACUACGCAACAGCCGCCUUGCAAAAUAGAAUAAACAUCGUACGAGCUACGCGUUACGAACAGAUUUCAAAGAUCUAAUCAAACGGCAUGAAGACUAAGUCGAAUUUAAUUGGCCGUCGUAUUUGCAUGAAAUUGGAAAAUCCGCGUGUUGCCAUUCGUGCGCCAGGUGAAAUGAAUUAUCGCCAACAAUUAUCAUCGAGUGAAAUAUACGACGGAGGAGGUCAGCCGAGGUGAGCCUUG
rnacentral:misc_RNA from 1 species